GACGAACGCUGGCGGCGUGCCUAACACAUGCAAGUCGAGCGGGGGGAGUACUUCGGUACAAACCUAGCGGCGGACGGGUGAGUAACACGUGAGUAACCUGCCUCAAAGUGGGGGAUAGCCUUCCGAAAGGAAGAUUAAUACCGCAUAACCCAUAGCUUCCGCAUGGAAGCAAUGGUAAAGAUUUAUCGCUUUGAGAUGGACCCGCGGCGCAUUAGCUAGUUGGUGAGGUAACGGCUCACCAAGGCCACGAUGCGUAGCCGACCUGAGAGGGUGAUCGGCCACAUUGGAACUGAGACACGGUCCAGACUCCUACGGGAGGCAGCAGUGGGGAAUAUUGCACAAUGGGCGAAAGCCUGAUGCAGCAACGCCGCGUGAGUGAUGAAGGCCUUCGGGUUGUAAAGCUCUGUCUUUUGGGACGAUAAUGACGGUACCAAAGGAGGAAGCCACGGCUAACUACGUGCCAGCAGCCGCCGUAACAC
rnacentral:rRNA from 1 species